rnacentral:rRNA from 1 species
UACGAAGGGGGCUAGCGUUGCUCGGAAUUACUGGGCGUAAGGAGCGUGUAGGCGGCCCGGUAAGUCCGCUGUGAAAGUCCAGGGCUCAACCCUGGAAUGCCGGUGGAAACUGUCGGGCUAGAGUCCGGAAGAGGCGAGUGGAAUUCCUGGUGUAGCGGUGAAAUGCGCAGAUAUCAGGAGGAACACCAAUGGCGAAGGCAGCUCGCUGGGACGGUACUGACGCUGAGGCGCGAAAGCGUGGGGAGCAAACAGG